CUGAGUUUGAUCCUGGCUCAGGACGAACGCUGGCGGCGUGCCUAAUACAUGCAAGUCGAGCGGACCGACGGGAGCUUGCUCCCUUAGGUCAGCGGCGGACGGGUGAGUAACACGUGGGUAACCUGCCUGUAAGACUGGGAUAACUCCGGGAAACCGGGGCUAAUACCGGAUGCUUGAUUGAACCGCAUGGUUCAAUCAUAAAAGGUGGCUUUUAGCUACCACUUNCAGAUGGACCCGCGGCGCAUUAGCUAGUUGGUGAGGUAACGGCUCACCAAGGCGACGAUGCGUAGCCGACCUGAGAGGGUGAUCGGCCACACUGGGACUGAGACACGGCCCAGACUCCUACGGGAGGCAGGCAGUAGGGAAUCUUCCGCAAUGGACGAAAGUCUGACGGAGCAACGCCGCGUGACGUGAUGAAGGUUUUCGGAUCGUAAAACUCUGUUGUUAGGGAAGAACAAGUACCGUUCGAAUAGGGCGGCACCUUGACGGUACCU
rnacentral:rRNA from 1 species